UACAGAGGGGGCAAGCGUUGUUCGGAAUUACUGGGCGUAAAGGGCGCGUAGGCGGCCGCCUAAGUCAGACGUGAAAUCCCUCGGCUUAACCGGGGAACUGCGUCUGAUACUGGAUGGCUUGAGUUUGGGAGGAGGGAUGCGGAAUUCCAGGUGUAGCGGUGAAAUGCGUAGAUAUCUGGAGGAACACCGGUGGCGAAGGCGGCAUCCUGGACCAACACGUGACGCUGAGUGAGCGAAAGCCAGGGGAGCAAAGCGGGGAUUAAGAAACCCGUAG
rnacentral:rRNA from 1 species